rnacentral:rRNA from 1 species
GGAUAGCCGCCCGAAAGGACGGGUAAUACCGGAUACCCCGGGGUGCCGCAUGGCACCCCGGCUAAAGCCCCGACGGGAGGGGAUGGCUCCGCGGCCCAUCAGGUAGACGGCGGGGUGACGGCCCACCGUGCCGACAACGGGUAGCCGGGUUGAGAGACCGACCGGCCAGAUUGGGACUGAGACACGGCCCAGACUCCUACGGGAGGCAGCAGUGGGGAAUCUUGCGCAAUGGGGGGAACCCUGACGCAGCGACGCCGCGUGCGGGACGGAGGCCUUCGGGUCGUAAACCGCUUUCAGCAGGGAAGAGUCAAGACUGUACCUGCAGAAGAAGCCCCGGCUAACUACGUGCCAGCAGCCGCGGUAAUACGUAGGGGGCGAGCGUUAUCCGGAUUCAUUGGGCGUAAAGCGCGCGUAGGCGGCCCGGCAGGCCGGGGGUCGAAGCGGGGGGCUCAACCCCCCGAAGCCCCCGGAACCUCCGCGGCUUGGGUCCGGUAGGGGAGGGCGGAACACCCGGUGUAGCGGUGGAAUGCGCAGAUAUCGGGUGGAACACCGGUGGCGAAGGCGGCCCUCUGGGCCGAGACCGACGCUGAGGCGCGAAAGCUGGGGGAGCGAACAGGAUUAGAUACCCUGGUAGUCCCAGCCGUAAACGAUGGACGCUAGGUGUGGGGGGACGAUCCCCCCGUGCCGCAG